rnacentral:rRNA from 1 species
GACGAACGCUGGCGGCGUGCUUAACACAUGCAAGUCGAACGGAAAGGCCCUGCUUUUGUGGGGUGCUCGAGUGGCGAACGGGUGAGUAACACGUGAGUAACCUGCCCUUGACUUUGGGAUAACUUCAGGAAACUGGGGCUAAUACCGGAUAGGAGCUCCUGCUGCAUGGGGGGGGUUGGAAAGUUUCGGCGGUUGGGGAUGGACUCGCGGCUUAUCAGCUUGUUGGUGGGGUAGUGGCUUACCAAGGCUUUGAGGGGUAGCCGGCCUGAGAGGGUGACCGGCCACAUUGGGACUGAGAUACGGCCCAGACUCCUACGGGAGGCAGCAGUGGAGAAUAUUGCACAAUGGGCGGAAGCCUGAUGCAGCAACGCCGCGUGCGGGAUGACGGCCUUCGGGUUGUAAACCGCUUACGCCUGUGACGAAGCGUGAGUGACGGUAAUGGGUAAAGAAGCACCGGCUAACUACGUG